rnacentral:tRNA from 1 species
GGGGAUUUAGCUCAGCGGCAUAAGCACCUGCCUUGCAAGCAGGCGGUUAUCGGUAUCCCCG